rnacentral:rRNA from 1 species
AUUGAACGCUGGCGGCAGGCUUAACACAUGCAAGUCGAACGAGUGGCGGACGGGUGAGUAAUGCUUGGGAAUCUGGCUUAUGGAGGGGGAUAACGACGGGAAACUGUCGCUAAUACCGCGUACCAUAGGAUGAGCCCAAGGGGGAUUAGGUAGUUGGUGGGGUAACGGCUCACCUAGGCGACGAUCCCUAGCUGGUCUGAGAGGAGGACCAGCCACACUGGAACUGAGCAACGGUCCAGACUCCGACGGGAGGCAGCAGUGGGGAAUAUUGCACAAUGGGCGCAAGCCUGAUGCAGCCAUGCCGCUUGUGUGAAGAAGGCCUUCGGGUUGUAAAGCACUUUCAGCGGGGAGGCGUUACCCGCAGAAGAAGCACCGGCUAACUACGUGCCAGCAGCCGCGGUAAUAC